UACGUAGGGGGCAAGCGUUGUCCGGAUUUAUUGGGCGUAAAGAGCUCGUAGGCGGCUCGAAAAGUCGGCGGUGAAAACUCGGGGCCCAACCCUGAGGUGCCCGUCGAUACUGUCGAGCUUGAGUCCGGUAGGGGAGUGUGGAAUUCCUGGUGUAGCGGUGAAAUGCGCAGAUAUCAGGAGGAACACCGAUGGCGAAGGCAGCACUCUGGGCCGGUACUGACGCUGAGGAGCGAAAGCUAGGGGAGCAAACAGG
rnacentral:rRNA from 1 species